rnacentral:rRNA from 1 species
GAUGAACGCUGGCGGCGUGCCUAAUACAUGCAAGUCGAGCGAACAGACGAGGAGCUUGCUCCUCUGACGUUAGCGGCGGACGGGUGAGUAACACGCGGAUAACCUACCUAUAAGACUGGGAUAACUUCGGGAAACCGGAGCUAAUACCGGAUAAUAUAUUGAACCGCAUGGUUCAAUAGUGAAAGACGGUUUUGCUGUCACUUAUAGAUGGAUCCGCGCCGCAUUAGCUAGUUGGUAAGGUAACGGCUUACCAAGGCAACGAUGCGUAGCCGACCUGAGAGGGUGAUCGGCCACACUGGAGCUGAGACACGGUCCAGACUCCUACGGGAGGCAGCAGUAGGGAAUCUUCCGCAAUGGGCGAAAGCCUGACGGAGCAACGCCGCGUGAGUGAUGAAGGUCUUCGGAUCGUAAAACUCUGUUAUUAGGGAAGAACAAAUGUGUAAGUAACUAUGCACGUCUUGACGGUACCUAAUCAGAAAGCCACGGCUAACUACGUG